UACGGAGGGUGCAAGCGUUAUCCGGAUUUACUGGGUUUAAAGGGUGUGUAGGCGGACUUUUAAGUCAGUGGUGAAAUCCCCGAGCUUAACUUGGGAACUGCCAUUGAUACUAUCAGUCUUGAAUACCGUGGAGGUCAGCGGAAUAUGUCAUGUAGCGGUGAAAUGCUUAGAUAUGACAUAGAACACCAAUUGCGAAGGCAGCUGGCUACACGAAUAUUGACACUCAGGCACGAAAGCGUGGGGAUCAAACAGG
rnacentral:rRNA from 1 species